AGCGCGUGUCCGAGCGGCUUAAAGAGGCCGUGUUGCUGUCUUCCCGGACCGCUGCUUCAGGAGACCCCCCCCCGGCGGCCCGGCCCUACGGGGACCGAGCGGGAUGGGGACCGGGGCAGUGGGCCCUCGGAGACGGGACGGGGCGGGGGGAACACUGGCGCGGAGUCCUCCGGGGACAGCGUAAGGCAGGGCCGCCUGGCAGGAGCGGAGGCCGCGGACCCCUCCCAAGCCGCUGAGCAGUGGACAGCGGGGACCGGAGACCCCAGGUGAGGAAGGGGAACGAAGUCAAGAAGGCCACAUGUCCUGACUUCCAGGCUUGGUGUCCUCAGAAGCCUCCAGGACGUCCAUGGAACCCGCCCCUGCGCCCACCGCCUCCUGCUGUCUUUCCAGCUGAGCUCCGGCCGCCCCUCACCCCCCGGCUUCUUCACUCUGCUCCUCCCCAGCCAGCGCCCUGCUCUUCCACCCGCCUGGGCCUUCGUCCCCUCCGAGCUCCCCUUCCACACCAAACCUGGCGUCCGUUUUCCUCCAGGCCUGCACCAGCACAGCUGAAAGGGAGAAAGACCCAGCCUCAUCCACUGGGCCUCCCCUCAACCAGGGCCACAACCUCAAGGGGCCACGCCACCCCACCCCCAACGCCUAUGUCCCACCUUCUACUCUCUCUUCACCCUGGGAUACCACCCGCCUCUCUCAGCUGGCGUUUUUCUUCUCAUUUUGUGUGCAUGGCGCUUGUGUGAGAAAGUGGACACACAGUAAGUGCGGCUUCUGGAUGCGUCUGCCGCCUGCCCUCCCUGCCACGCGCUUCCCCCUCCCUGGGGAGCCUCCAGCAGACAGGGAACCCGUGCCUUCCCACCCUUCUGUCUCCCUCCCACUUCACUUGUCCGCGUCAUUCCCGGAGGCCUUUAUUUCUGGCACGAGAUGCUCCAGGGUCCUGUUGUAUUCUGCCUGCCCCAACCUGAACCCAGCUAUUUCUGCUGGCAACCUGGUUCAUUGUGGGAGAAUGUCAUGCAGAGCCCGGAGUCGGGCCCCGGUUGUGGUCAUUGCUACUGGGGUGUCCUUGCAGCUGGUGGAGCAAGGGAGCACAUCUGUGUACAUGCUCCCACGCAUAUGUAUACACACAGUUUCAUGGG